UACGAAGGGGGCUAGCGUUGCUCGGAAUCACUGGGCGUAAAGCGCACGUAGGCGGAUUGCUAAGUCAGGGGUGAAAUCCUGGAGCUCAACUCCAGAACUGCCCUUGAUACUGGCAAUCUCGAGUCCGGAAGAGGUUGGUGGAACAGCUAGUGUAGAGGUGAAAUUCGUAGAUAUUAGCUAGAACACCAGUGGCGAAGGCGGCCAACUGGUCCGGGUACUGACGCUGAGGUGCGAAAGCGUGGGGGAGCAAACAGG
rnacentral:rRNA from 1 species